UAAUUGCUUUGUUUAGUAUUGGUGGACUAGAUUUAGCUUUGGAUGAGUAACUUAAAAAUGACCUUGUGCUUAUUUUUUUUUAUUUAAUUAAUGACUGGUGAUGAAUCACUUGUGACUGAUUCACUCUUAGCCCAUUCUGUUGUUCUGAGGAGGGAGUUAUAAUAAAACACCACUGUAG